CCACUCGACGAUGAGGUCAUGGUGUCAUAUAUCCUUGCUAGAUUGGACUUCGACUAUAUGGCGUUUGUCUCUUCCAUCUACGCCGCAAGAACCGACCCCAUCAAGGUAGUUGAACUCUACUCUCAGCUGCUUAGUUUUGAGA
rfam:Hordeum vulgare subsp. vulgare, WGS project CAJW01000000 data, contig: morex_contig_1558572